CAAGGGAAUUGACGGUGAAUCUUAACAGCUGUGGAUCAUAUGAUUUAAUCUGAUGACAACGCACUACAUCUUACCAACAAUAGAGGAUAUGUUAAGUAUAUAACAGUAUAUUUAUGAAAGUAUAAUUUUAAAUACAACUGAUUUAACUAUCCCCAGGCGGUGCAUGGCUGUCGUCAAUUCGUGUUUUGAUAUGUUUGGUUAAGUCCCGGAACGAAUGUAACCCCCAAAUUUAUUUUAGUAAAAGUAAUAAUUAUAAAUUUAUUAUUUGAAAUAAAUUGACUGCUUACGAAAUGUAAGAUGAAGGUGAGGACCAUGUCAAGUCGUUAUGCCCUUUAUAGGUUGGGCUAUCCAUAUGAUACAAUGGUAAAUACAAAUAGUGGCUAAAUUUUAAUAUUUGGCUAAUCUUAAAAUUUACCUUAGUUCGAAUUGUUAUCUGAAACUUGGUAACAUGCAGUAGGAAUAGCUAGUAAUCGUUUUUCAUAACAGGACGGC
rnacentral:rRNA from 1 species